GUGCCCUGCCGUGCCGUGCCGUGUGCGGGGCCGGCCCGUCCGGACACCCCUCUGAGCAGCCAGUGCCUCCAUGCUGCCCAGCUGGGGCUUGCAAUGGUUUAUCUCUCGUCAAGCGCUCUGCAUCAUGUUCCGUUCCAUGCCGUCACCCUUUCUUUCAGGACACAAAACCUUUCAAUGACCUAUGGCGAUUGUCUUGUAUGAGGGAAUGGAGAGACAUGUCCUCCACACUGAAUGCACCAAUUUAAAAGCAAAACAAUAAAUAUGUCAAAGUGCA